UUUAUGGAGAGUUUGAUCCUGGCUCAGGAUGAACGCUGGCGGCGUGCCUAAUACAUGCAAGUCGAGCGAACUGACGAGGAGCUUGCUCCUUUGACGUUAGCGGCGGACGGGUGAGUAACACGUGGGUAACCUACCUAUAAGACUGGAAUAACUCCGGGAAACCGGGGCUAAUGCCGGAUAACAUGUUGAACCGCAUGGUUCAACAGUGAAAGACGGUCUUGCUGUCACUUAUAGAUGGAC
rnacentral:rRNA from 1 species